UAUCGGAUUGAUACUAAGCCAUGCGAGUCAUUGUAGCAAUACAAGGCAUACGGCUCAGUAACGCGUAGUCAACCUAACCUAUGGACGGGAAUAACCUCGGGAAACUGAGAAUAAUGCCCGAUAGAACAUUAUGCCUGGAAUGGUUUAUGUUCCAAAUGAUUUAUCGCCGUAGGAUGGGACUGCGGCCUAUCAGUUUGUUGGUGAGGUAAUGGCCCACCAAGACUAUUACAGGUACGGGCUCUGAGAGGAGUAGCCCGGAGAUGGGUACUGAGACACGGACCCAGGCCCUAUGGGGCGCAGCAGGCGAGAAAACUUUGCAAUGUGCGAAAGCACGACAAGGUUAAUCCGAGUGGUUUCUGCUAAAGGAACCUUUUGUCAGUCCUAGAAACACUGAUGAAUAAGGGGUGGGCAAGUUCUGGUGUCAGCCGCCGCGGUAAAACCAGCACCUCAAGUGGUCAGGAUGAUUAUUGGGCCUAAAGCAUCCGUAGCCGGCUCUGUAAGUUUUCGGUUAAAUCUGUACGGUCAACGUACAGGCUGCCGGGAAUACUGCAAAGCUAGGGAGUGGGAGAGGUAGACGGUACUCGGUAGGAAGGGGUAAAAUCCUUUGAUCUAUUGAUGACCACCUGUGGCGAAGGCGGUCUACCAGAACACGUCCGACGGUGAGGGAUGAAAGCUGGGGGAGCAAACCGGAUUAGAUACCCGGGUAGUCCCAGCUGUAAACCAUGCAAACUCAGUGAUGCAUUGGCUUGUGGCCAAUGCAGUGCUGCAGGGAAGCCGUUAAGUUUGCCGCCUGGGAAGUACGUACGCAAGUAUGAAACUUAAAGGAAUUGGCGGGGGAGCACCACAAGGGGUGAAGCCUGCGGUUCAAUUGGAGUC
rnacentral:rRNA from 1 species